ACGCAAAAUACCGUGUUCUUGUUUGGAAAUUUACAAACUUUUCCUUUGAUUUUUUGCUUAUGAAAAGUGAGAUCGCAUCAAAGCACAGUUCUAGAUUGAAGUUGAAGCUUCUUUCUAAUGAUUGAAGUAAGAAAUUUGUGUAAUUAUGUGCCACACGGUCGAGAAGCAGUCAAGUUAAAACCACGUGUUUCAAAUGUCGAACAACGUGAUGGAAUAUUGUCAACGCAUUAUAAUGUUGAAAAGUCCAGUAAUAAG
rnacentral:lncRNA from 1 species